GUCUGGUCUAAAGGUAGUAAGUUAUCUCAGUUGAUUAUUCACAGUUACAGAUCAAACUCCUCAUUCUACUCUUUCCUCCUUCUCACUACUGAACUUGUCUAGGAGGAA
rnacentral:Y_RNA from 1 species